CACCGGCGGACGGGUGCGUAACACGUGGGAAUAUACCUUUCGGUACGGAACAACUGCGGGAAACUGCAGCUAAUACCGUAUACGUCCGGAGAAAGAUUUAUCGCCGAAGGAUUAGCCCGCGUUCGAUUAGCUAGUUGGUGAGGUAACGGCUCACCAAGGCGACGAUCGAUAGCUGUUCUGAGAGGAAGAUCAGCCACACUGGGACUGAGACACGGCCCAGACUCCUACGGGAGGCAGCAGUUGGGAAUCUUGGACAAUGGGGGAAACCCUGAUCCAGCCAUGCCGCGUGAGUGAUGAAGGCCUUCGGGUUGUAAAGCUCUUUUACCCGGGAAGAUAAUGACUGUACCGGGAGAAUAAGCUCCGGCUAACUUCGUGCCAGCAGCCGCGGUAAUACGAAGGGGGCUAGCGUUGUUCGGAAUUACUGGGCGUAAAGCGUGCGCAGGCGGCUUCCCAAGUCAGUGGUGAAAGCCCGGAGCUCAACUCCGGAACUGCCAUUGAAACUGUGAAGCUCGAGGACGAGAGAGGUGAGUGGAAUUCCCAGUGUAGAGGUGAAAUUCGUAGAUAUUGGGAAGAACACCGGUGGCGAAGGCGGCUCACUGGCUCGUUUC
rnacentral:rRNA from 1 species